AUACGGAGGAUCCUAGCGUUAUCCGGAAUUAUUGGGUUUAAAGGGUCCGUAGGCGGCUUGAUAAGUCAGCGGUGAAAGUUUUUGGCUUAACCAAAAAAUUGCCGUUGAUACUGUUUAGCUUGAAUAAUUGUGAAGUAACUAGAAUAUGUAGUGUAGCGGUGAAAUGCUUAGAUAUUACAUGGAAUACCAAUUGCGCAGGCAGGUUACUAAUAAUUUAUUGACGCUGAUGGACGAAAGCGUGGGUAGCGAACGGGAUUAGAUACCCCGGUAGUCCACGCCGUAAACGAUGGAUACUAGUUGUUGGAUUUUCGGAUUCAGUGACUAAGCGAAAGUGAUAAGUAUCCCACCUGGGGAGUACGUUCGCAAGAAUGAA
rnacentral:rRNA from 1 species